GAAGGGCUUCGGCCCCGGUACAGUGGCGCACGGGUGAGUAACACGUGGAUAAUCUUCUCCCGGGCGGGGGAUAACCUUCCGAAAGGAGGGCUAAUACCGCAUAAGCCCACGGCUUCGAAAGAAGCUGCGGGAAAAGCAGGCCUCUAUACAUAAGCUUGCACCUGGGAAUGAGUCCGCGGCCCAUCAGCUAGUUGGCGGGGUAAUGGCCCACCAAGGCAAAGACGGGUAGCUGGUCUGAGAGGAUGAUCAGCCACACUGGAACUGAGACACGGUCCAGACUCCUACGGGAGGCAGCAGUGGGGAAUCUUGCGCAAUGGGCGAAAGCCUGACGCAGCGACGCCGCGUGAGUGAUGAAGGCCUUCGGGUUGUAAAGCUCUGUGGGGAGAGAAGAAUAAGUAUU
rnacentral:rRNA from 1 species